rnacentral:rRNA from 1 species
GAAAUGCGAUAAGUAAUGUGAAUUGCAGAAUUCAGUGAAUCAUCGAAUCUUUGAACGCACAUUGCGCCCGCCGGCACUCCGGCGGGCAUGCCUGUCCGAGCGUCAUU